GAUCUGUUAGUAUAGUGGUAAGUAUAGCCGCCUGUCACGCGGCAGACCUGGGUUCAAUUCCCAGACGGAUCG